rnacentral:ncRNA from 1 species
AAAGUUUAAUUUUAUUCUUAGACUAAUAGUGCAUAAUACGUUAAAAUACUAAUUUACGUGAAAUCAGAUAUAGUGAAGUAUUUUGAAAUUUUGUUGUUUGUUGAAAAACAGAAACAGGUAAUUACUGUUAAAUAGGUAAUAGCGUGCCAGCACCUGCGGUCAUACGGAUGUUUAUACUAUUAGAAAUUUGAUUUAGUUAUGAUUUAAAACUGCUAAGGUGGAAUUUAUUUUUUUAAGUCAUAAUUAUAAAGGAGAACACACAAAUAGGAUUAGAUACCCUGCUAGAGCCCUAAAUUUUUGAUAAUUAUUGAUAUAAAAUCGAUUGAUUUGGCGGCUUUUUGUUUGUAUCAGAGGAGCUUGUCCUAUAAACGAUAACACCCGAUAGAUUAGCUUUUUUUAAAAGUCUGUAUAUCGCCGUUUACAGAAAAUACUAAAAAUUGAUUUUCAUUAAAUCAGAAUGUAAUUCAGGUCAAGAUGCAGCCUAUGAAAAAGAAGAGAUGAGCUACAAUUCAUAAGUGAAAACGUUAAUUGCUUGUAAUUGGCAAUAAAGGUGGAUUUGAUAGUAACUUAAACAUUGAGAAUGUUGAUUGAAUAAAAACCUAAAAAGUGCACAUAUCGCCCGUCACUUCCAUUAAUUUUGGAAUAAGUCGUAACAAAGUAAGAUUUCUGGAAGGAGAUUUUA